GCCUUGUGGUUGCCUCUGUGCUUUAUACUCAUGAGCAUAAGAGGUAUGAUAGUACUAAGGCAGAAAUCAAGCCUUUGGUUUCAUGCAUGAAAACAGUAAUUUUCAACUGUUUUCAUAGCCCGACCUUAGGGACAUAU
rfam:Lingula anatina scaffold139, whole genome shotgun sequence.